GAUGAACGCUGGCGGCGUGCCUAAUACAUGCAAGUCGAGCGAACGGACGAGAAGCUUGCUUCUCUGAUGUUAGCGGCGGACGGGUGAGUAACACGUGGAUAACCUACCUAUAAGACUGGGAUAACUUCGGGAAACCGUAGCUAAUACCGGAUAAUAUUUUGAACCGCAUGGUUCAAAAGUGAAAGACGGUCUUGCUGUCACUUAUAGCUGGAUCCGCGCUGCAUUAGCUAGUUGGUAAGGUAACGGCUUACCAAGGCAACGAUGCAUAGCCGACCUGAGAGGGUGAUCGGCCACACUGGAACUGAGACACGGUCCAGACUCCUACGGGAGGCAGCAGUAGGGAAUCUUCCGCAAUGGGCGAAAGCCUGACGGAGCAACGCCGCGUGAGUGAUGAAGGUCUUCGGAUCGUAAAACUCUGUUAUUAGGGAAGAACAUAUGUGUAAGUAACUGUGCACAUCCUGACGGUACCUAAUCAGAAAGCCACGGCUAACUACGUG
rnacentral:rRNA from 1 species